UACGGGGGGAGCAAGCGUUGUUCGGAUUUACUGGGCGUAAAGGGCGCGUAGGCGGUUUAUCAAGUGAGAUGUGAAAUCCCCGGGCUUAACCUGGGAACUGCAUCUUAGACUGAUAAGCUGGAGUACUGUAGAGGACAGUGGAAUUUCCGGUGUAGCGGUGAAAUGCGUAGAGAUCGGAAGGAACACCAGUGGCGAAGGCGACUGUCUGGACAGAUACUGACGCUGAGGCGCGAAAGCGUGGGGAGCAAACAGG
rnacentral:rRNA from 1 species